rnacentral:rRNA from 1 species
AGUGAACGCUGGCGGUAGGCCUAACACAUGCAAGUCGAACGGCAGCACAGUAAGAGCUUGCUCUUACGGGUGGCGAGUGGCGGACGGGUGAGGAAUACAUCGGAAUCUACUUUUUCGUGGGGGAUAACGUAGGGAAACUUACGCUAAUACCGCAUACGACCUACGGGUGAAAGCAGGGGAUCUUCGGACCUUGCGCGAUUGAAUGAGCCGAUGUCGGAUUAGCUAGUUGGCGGGGUAAAGGCCCACCAAGGCGACGAUCCGUAGCUGGUCUGAGAGGAUGAUCAGCCACACUGGAACUGAGACACGGUCCAGACUCCUACGGGAGGCAGCAGUGGGGAAUAUUGGACAAUGGGCGCAAGCCUGAUCCAGCCAUACCGCGUGAGUGAAGAAGGUCUUCGGGUUGUAAAGCCCUUUUGUUGGGAAAGAAAAGCAGCAGGUUAAUACCCCGCUGUUCUGACGGUACCCAAAGAAUAAGCACCGGCUAACUUCGUG